GUCGCACGAGUUCAGACUCGUGGCGAAUAGCUCAGUAACACGUGGCCAAACUACCCUUCGGAACACAAUACCCUCGGGAAACUGAGGCUAAUAGUGUAUACCAUACCACCACUGGAAUGAGUGGUAUGCCAAAUGCUCCGGCGCCGAAGGAUGUGGCUGCGGCCGAUUAGGUAGACGGUGGGGUAACGGCCCACCGUGCCAAUAAUCGGUACGGGUCAUGAGAGUGAGAACCCGGAGACGGAAUCUGAGACAAGAUUCCGGGCCCUACGGGGCGCAGCAGGCGCGAAACCUUUACACUGCACGACAGUGCGAUAGGGGGAUCCCAAGUGCACAGGCAUAGCGCCUGUGCUUUUCGGUACCGUAAGGUGGUACCAGAAUAAGGGCUGGGCAAGACCGGUGCCAGCCGCCGCGGUAAUACCGGCAGCCCAAGUGAUGGCCGAUCUUAUUGGGCCUAAAGCGUCCGUAGCUGGCCGCGCAAGUCCAUCGGGAAAUCCACCUGCUCAACAGGUGGGCGCCCGGUAGAAACUGCGUGGCUUGGGACCGGAAGGCGCGACGGGUACGUCCGGGGUAGGAGUGAAAUCCCGUAAUCCUGGACGGACCGCCGAUGGCGAAAGCACGUCGCGAGAACGGAUCCGACAGUGAGGGACGAAAGCCAGGGUCUCGAACCGGAUUAGAUACCCGGGUAGUCCUGGCCGUAAACAAUGUCUGCUAGGUGUGGCUCCCACUACGAGUGGGUGCUGUGCCGUAGGGAAGCCG
rnacentral:rRNA from 1 species